GAUAAGGAUACCAACCCCUAAUGAAAAGUGUUCUAGAUGGGUCUCACAAAACUUUUUUUCCCUGUCAACUCUCUCUUCUCUCCCUCUCUCCCCUCCCCCUCCUCCUCCCGAGCUCUCUCCCCUCUUUUCCGAUCGGAGGAGCUCGGCGGUAGCCGUGGUCGACGGCGAACACGGCGGCGCGUCGGCGGCGGCCACGGAGCAGGGCGGGCGACGGGCCGGGCGCCGGAUCUAGGUGGGCGACGACCUCGGUGGGUGACGGCGGCGGCCGCAGAUCGGGCAGCGACGGCGAGGGCCGCAGCAGCGACCUCGGCGGCCGACGGCAAUAGAUCCAGGCGUCGGGUGAGCGGAGGACGCCGGAUCCGCGCGGCGGCGCGCCGGGGACGCCAGAUCCACGCGGUGGCGCGUCAGGGACGUUGGCGAUGGGUCGCGGACGGUGGCGGUGGCCGGCGUCGGCGUCGACGGCGCGGCGGUCGGCGGCGCGGCGGUCGGCGGCGCGGAUCAACGGCGCGGCGGCCGGCGGAGUAGAGUGAGCUCGGUGACUGCGCUCCUGUGGCGCCUCUCUCUCCUUUCCGGUUUCGGUAACGCACAUCUUCGCCGGAGUGCGGUGUAUGGCGUCGUGGCAUGCUGGCUCCGAUGCUGUGGGCUAGAGCCACCUGCCAUGUCGGAGCAUAGUGCAUGCUCGUAAUUGCGCACAUCGCAAGGAGUGGAGUAGAUAGGCUGCAUAUAUACUAGCUUGUUUAUUUAAUGUGUUAUACUCGAGAGCAUUAGAAUAACUCCGAAGAAAUAGUUUUUACCAUUAUUAGAAAAGUACACUGAGUUAUCAUAAUUUUCAGCGUAAAAGUUUAGUACCUCAAGAGCAGGUACAAUAGCAGAUUAUAAUCCAGCUAUAAACAUAUUUUAAGUUGAUAAGAGAUGAGAGAGAAGAACAGCUGGCUACAGAUUUGUAGCCAACUAUAGCACACAGACUCCAAAACACAUGUGUGUGUGAUAGGUCAGACCGGAUAUUAAUUAUGUAGUAUAUAACUAUUGUAUGAAUUGACUAUUAAAUUGGAUUAUAGACAAUUUAUAUCCA